CGCUGGCCGAACGCAGGUAUUACGCAGCGGGUAAACCGGCAGGGAUGCCGGUUUAGCCGUCCCGGGCCAUGGAUGGCCCGUGACGGCGGCCCGCGGAGUAAUGCCUGCGUUCGGGCACAC
rnacentral:ncRNA from 1 species